rnacentral:rRNA from 1 species
GACAGAGGAUGCAAGCGUUAUCCGGAAUGAUUGGGCGUAAAGCGUCUGUAGGUGGCUUUUUAAGUCCGCCGUCAAAAUCCCAGGGGCUCACCCCUGGACAGGCGGUGAAAACUACCAAGCUGGAGUACGGGUAGGGCAGAGGGAAAUUUCCGGGUGGGAGCGGGUGAAAUGCGUAGAGAUCGAAAGAAACACCAAACGGGCGAAAGCAACUCUGCUGGCCCGACACUGACACUUUGAGAGACGAAAGCUAGGGAGCGAAAUGGGAAAUU